GGGGGCGAACCGGGUUCGACCGGGCUAGUGAAUUGUAAGUUGCGUGUCGUUGUUGGUCAGUUGGCAACGUAAAAAGCCGACCAUUAAACUCAAAUGCCGAACCUAAAUUGGCAUUGGCUGCCUAAUAAAAGGCAACCCCGAAUCCAGACUGCCGCCGAAGCGGUUUGACGUUCGGACGUAAUUUCGGAUCGUUUCUGCUCACGUUGGCUACGGCAGAGAUUAAAAAAGUUGUCAAACCGUCCUUGACAGACCGUCGCCGAUAAGGGCUUGAUGGGACUAAAAAACAAAGAAUCGGAUACACACGUAGAUACGUACAAGGAUCGGUUUCGGGACGCGGGUUCAAUUCCCGCCGCCUCCA
rnacentral:tmRNA from 1 species